GACGAACGCUGGCGGCGUGCUUAACACAUGCAAGUCGAACGGUAAGGCCCUUCGGGGUACACGAGUGGCGAACGGGUGAGUAACACGUGGGUGAUCUGCCCUGCACUUCGGGAUAAGCCUGGGAAACUGGGUCUAAUACCGGAUAGGACCACGGCCUGCAUGGGUGGUGGGGGAAAGCUUUUGCGGUGUGGGAUGGGCUCGCGGCCUAUCAGCUUGUUGGUGGGGUGUUGGCCUACCAAGGCGACGACGGGUAGCCGGGCUGAGAGGGUGACCGGCCACACUGGGACUGAGAUACGGCCCAGACUCCUACGCGAGGCAGCAGUGGGGAAUAUUGCACAAUGGGCGCAAGCCUGAUGCAGCGACGCCGCGUGAGGGAUGACGGCCUUCGGGUUGUAAACCUCUUUCAGCACCGACGAAGCGCAAGUGACGGUAGGUGCAGAAGAAGGACCGGCCAACUACGUGCCAGCCGCCGCAGUAAAAC
rnacentral:rRNA from 1 species